AGACAGCAGUAGCCACGGUAAUACGGAGGGUGCAAGCGUUAUCCGGAUUUAUUGGGUUUAAAGGGUCCGUAGGCGGAUCUGUAAGUCAUUGGUGAAAUCUCACAGCUUAACUGUGAAACUGCCAUUGAUACUGGAGGUCUUGAGUAAAUUUGAAGUGGCUGGAAUAAGUAGUGUAGCGGUGAAAUGCAUAGAUAUUACUUAGAACACCAAUUGCGAAGGCAGGUCACUAAGAUUUAACUGACGCUGAUGGACGAAAGCGUGGGGAGCGAACAGGAUUAGAUACCCCGGUAGUCCCUGUCUCUUAUAC
rnacentral:rRNA from 1 species